rnacentral:lncRNA from 1 species
CCGAAGUUCUCAAAAUAUCUUGACAUUUCUCAUCUCACGGAAACUGCUCUUAUUUUGAUCCUCAUCUACUCCCUUCCCCCACCGACACUCGAAAACUCAAUUCUUCACUUCAUUUCCCAGGCAAAAAGAUCGAAAACAAAUCACCUUUUCCUUCACUUUCUUGCCAUCCAAACACUGCACGGCCACUGAAUCAUAACUAGAAAAAGAAAGGUUUGCUUAGAUGUGGGCACAGCCGUACGGGAAUACAAUAGACAUCAAAAUACCAUGUUUAACUUGGAGCUCAUCAUCGUACCAGAUAGAAAUAAAUAGAGAUGGAGAUGGGGCUUACCUGACUUGCACCUCUGAAAUUCAUGGCAGCUCAUAAAGGGUUGAGAAAAUUGUAGCUGAGUUAUAAGGUAAAAGAAGGACAGCAACGACAGCACAGCUGCUUCAAUUCUAAGAAAUCUAUAGCCGGGUUUGCCCGGGUCGACCGGGUUCCGGGUUGACCCGCCGGGUUUGCCCGGGUCAGCGAAACCCUGGCCGGUUUUUACUUAGACCCGGACCGGUUCCAGGCCCGGGUCGGCCGGGUCCCGGGUCAACCUACCGGGCCGGUCCGGGUUUCAAAACUAUGCUCAGUACCCUAGAGCAGCUAAUCAAGUCAUUUUUAACAUUUCUCUUUUUUUCCCCUCUAAUUAUAUUUUCAUAAAAUUAUAAAUUU